CCUGUUUUUGACAGUUUCCACGGUCACGAUCAAACGGAGCGGCAAUGUCCUCACGUGUGACGCCGACGGUGCCGUCAAAGGCUUUGCGUGGCUGACGUUCGGAAACGUGCCUGUCUCACCAAGCGACGGCAAAGUGGGCCCUGAGCCGUCCCAGUUCACUUUGGACGCCAAGGCCAAAGGCCAGUUCAUUUGCAAGGUCACCGCCUGCAAUGACAAAAUCAACUCCCAGUCCUUCGACGUCAGCGGAGCCAAGGGCCCCAUCGGUAGCCCCGGCACGGACCAGGACAACGCUCCGAAACCAACCGCAGCCACCCAGGGCGCGUCCUGCUCUGUCGCUCUGUUGGUGAUAAGCGUCCUCAUUGAGCUCUACGUGGUGGUGAUGAUGUAGACCGAGGUCGGGUGAGUCGCCAUUUUCCCUCCGUCCACCGUGGCUGCGCUGCGCUGCCUUGCCCAACCGGCGGCUGUCUGUCUGCUUUUCCUCAGACGAGAGGUCCUGGAGGCGAGCGGCAUGCGGGCCCUUCCAUUUUUCUUUUUUCAUUCAUUCAGCAAUAAAAAUAAUUCAGCAUCAAGAAGAAAAAAAAAAGCACGAGAAACAGAAAGCAGCGGGAAGGCGGCGGCGGCGGCGUUGACGGCGGCACGAGACCCUCGCUCGUACAUCUGGCGCGAGGGUCACGCCUGAGCGGUUGGCCUUGGACUUGUUUGCAGCAGGGGAAGGGCCGAGAGUGAAGCGGGAAAGCUUUUUUUUUUUUUUUUUUUUUGCUCUUAAUUCAAUUUUCUUCUACUUAUUCCAUUCAUUAUGAUUUACAAUGGAUGAUGUCACUCAACUUUAGCAUUGGGGAGGGAGGGAGGUUGGCAAACGCUCCGCUCCGUCCGGAAGGUGGUCAACGCAAGUGGGUGAGUGAAUUGCAUGGUACAACUUUUUUUUGGUCUUUGACUUAUGCAUGCUUACUACUCAAGUUAUUAUCAUGAGGGAUUAUGUCGCUCAACUUAAUUUAUUAUGUGAUUUACAAUGGAUGAUGUCACUCAACUUUAGCAUUGGGGAGGGUGGUUGGCAAAUGUUUUGUUUGGACGCGCUGGAAGGUGGUCAACGUGAUUGGGUGGGUGAAUUGGAUGAUUAUUUGAUGGUGCAACGUUGCCUUGGUGUCAUGUAUCCACUCGAAACCACAAUAAAGUCUUCAUCCCACU